AUUUAAGCUUCAUAUAUAAAGUUGUAGCUUUUUUUAGAA
rnacentral:tRNA from 1 species